rnacentral:tRNA from 1 species
GCGCCCGUAGCUCAGCUGGAUAGAGCGGAUGCCUCCGGAGCAUCAGGUCGGGAGUUCGAAUCUCUCCGGGCGCACCA